CGACCCUACAGGGUUGCGCCGGCCUCCGGGUUGCACACCGCCCAGAAGGUGGAGUGAGGUGAGCCGUCGCCAACAGCGCCGAGCCAGGACAGUUACCCCAG
rnacentral:sRNA from 1 species